GGGAUGACACAGUAGGAUAAGCUAAGCACACUGUUGGUUAUGUGUGCCCAAGCAUUGAGGCAGUCAAAGUAGGCAAAUCCGCUUUGAUAAUGCUGGGAUGGGAUGGGGAGCGAAAUUUAGUAGCGAAGUAGCUGAUUUCACACUGUCAAGAAAAGUCUCUAUCGAGGUUAAAGGUACCCGUACCGCAAACCGACACAGGUGGGUGAGGAGAGUAUCCUAAGGCCAGCGAGAGAACUGUUGUUAAGGAACUCGGCAAAAUGACCCCGUAACUUAGGGAUAAGGGGUGCCACCAUCAGGUGGCCGCAGAGAAUAGGCCCAAGCGACUGUUUACCAAAAACAUAGGUUUCUGCUAAGUCGCAAGACGAUGUAUAGGAGCUGACGCCUGCCCGGUGCUGGAAGGUUAAGGGGAUCUGUUAGAG
rnacentral:rRNA from 1 species